rnacentral:rRNA from 1 species
UACGUAGGGUCCGAGCGUUGUCCGGAGUACUGGGCGUAAAGCGCGCGCAGGCGGCGGUGCUGGCCCGGCGUGAAAGCCCCCCGGCUCAACCGGGGAGGGUCGUCGGGGACCGCACCGCUUGAGGGCGGUAGGGGGCUGGUGGAAUGCCUGGUGUAGUGGUGAAAUGCGCAGAGAUCAGGCGGAACACCCGUGGCGAAGGCGGCCAGCUGGGCCGUCCCUGACGCUGAGGCGCGAAGGCGUGGGGAGCGAACGGG